rnacentral:rRNA from 1 species
AUGAGUGAGGAGGCAACUAGAGAUAUUCUUGCUUGUAAGGAUAGAGAUGAUCUAGAGAAAUUAUUAUGCAAGUAUAAGGAAAGAUCUCUAAAUGCUAAAAUGAAAUGUGAUCCUGAGUUUGCUACUUCACCUAGUGUGAUUGAUGAUAAGGAUUAUGAAUUCUCUGUCGACCUAGAGUUAAUCACUUUGGUUGAAUCUGAUCCUUUCCAUGGUUAUGAAACUGAAACUGUUGUGGCACAUCUUACUAAGUUGAAUGACAUACCACCCUCUUUGCUCAUGAUGAGAAGAUUCACUAUUACUAUAUUCUCAAGUUAUUUCCUUUCUCAUUAA